UCUGCCCUUCUCAUCGGAAUAACCAUUGGAAACGAUGGCUAAUGCCGAAUAUGACCUCGGAUCACAUGUUCUGAGGUGGAAAGCUCCGGCGGAGAAGGAUGAGCUCGCGGCCUAUCAGCUUGUUGGUGAGGUAAUGGCUCACCAAGGCAUUGACGGGUAGCCGGCCUGAGAGGGUGACCGGCCACACUGGGACUGAGACACGGCCCAGACUCCUACGGGAGGCAGCAGUGGGGAAUAUUGGACAAUGGGCGAAAGCCUGAUCCAGCAACGCCGCGUGAGGGAUGACGGCCUUCGGGUUGUAAACCUCUUUCAGCAGGGACGAAGCGAAAGUGACGGUACCUGCAGAAGAAGGACCGGCCAACUACGUGCCAGCAGCCGCGGUAAUACGUAGGGUCCGAGCGUUGUCCGGAAUUAUUGGGCGUAAAGGGCUCGUAGGCGGUUUGUCGCGUCGGGAGUGAAAACUCAGGGCUCAACCCUGAGCGUGCUUCCGAUACGGGCAGACUAGAGGUAUGCAGGGGAGAACGGAAUUCCUGGUGUAGCGGUGGAAUGCGCAGAUAUCAGGAGGAACACCGGUGGCGAAGGCGGUUCUCUGGGCAUUACCUGACGCUGAGGAGCGAAAGCAUGGGGAGCGAACAGGAUUAGAUACCCUGGUAGUCCAUGCCGUAAACGUUGGGCGCUAGGUGUGGGGACCUUCCACGGUCUCCGUGCCGCAGCUAACGCAUUAAGCGCCCCGCC
rnacentral:rRNA from 1 species